UAAGUUCCUUGGAACAGGACGUCAUAGAGGGUGAGAAUCCCGUACGUGACCGGCGGUCAACCCCAUGUGAGGCUCCUUCGACGAGUCGAGUUGUUUGGGAAUGCAGCUCUAAAUGGGUGGUAAAUUUCAUCUAAAGCUAAAUACCGGCCAGAGACCGAUAGCGCACAAGUAGAGUGAUCGAAAGAUGAAAAGCACUUUGAAAAGAGAGUUAAAAAGUACGUGAAAUUGUUGAAAGGGAAGCGCUUGCAACCAGACUUGCCCGCAGGCGAUCUUCCGUUUUUCGGAGCCACCGCACGUGGAGCAGGCCAGUAUCGGUUUUGGCAGUCGGACAAAGUUCCUGGGAACGUANCUUCUUUCGGGGAGUGUUAUAGCCCGGGGUGCAAUGCGAUUAGUUGGGACCGAGGACCGCGCUUCGGCUAGGAUACUGGCGUAAUGGUUGUAAGCGACCCGUCUUGAAACACGGACCAAGGAGUCUAACAUCUAUGCGAGUGUUUGGGUGUCAAACCCAUACGCGUAAUGAAAGUGAACGGAGGUGGGAACCUUAGGGGGCACCAUCGACCGAUCCUGAUGUCUUCGGAUGGAUUUGAGUACGAGCAUAGCUGUUGGGACCCGAAAGAUGGUGAACUAUGCCUGAAUAGGGUGAAGCCAGAGGAAACUCUGGUGGAGGCUCGCAGCGGUUCUGACGUGCAAAUCGAUCGUCAAAUUUGGGUAUAGGGGCGAAAGACUAAUCGAACCAUCUAGUAGGCCAGUUACUAGAAACACAAUAGAGGUCGAGGCCUCUGUAGUCCGCCGUCUCGGUGGGCGACAUCGUCGGUCUUCGGGGACCCCCUCCAGGGGCGAUCGACGUGGGCUUCCCGCCCACUCACAGANUAAGUGACGGUGGCCGUGGCCGCUAUCGUUCAGCGCNACGGUUAGGAUAUAGCCGCCGGAUCCUUAAAGGGGGUCCGCCAGGGAGCUGGUUCCUGCCGAAGUUUCCCUCAGGAUAGCAGUAACGUUUUCAGUUUUAUGAGGUAAAGCGAAUGAUUAGAGGCCUUGGGGCAGAAACUGCCUUAACCUAUUCUCAAACUUUAAAUAUGUAAGAAGUCCUUGUUACUUAGUUGAACGUGGACAUUUGAAUGCACCGUUACUAGUGGGCCAUUUUUGGUAAGCAGAACUGGCGAUGCGGGAUGAACCGAACGUGAGGUUAAGGUGCCGGAAUAUACGCUCAUCAGACACCAAGUCCUUUGUGGUGUCGCCCCGGGNUCGUUCGCNGCCCCGGUGAGUUGCCCCCUUGGGGGUGGCGAGGUCUCUGAUCUGCGAGGAGUGCUGUAGCCCAGCUCACCCGCAGCCAUAUAUUUAUGGCCCACAGAUCAAGUGCAGGCCGGCGGUCCCUUGCGCAGGGGUCGUUAGAGAUAUGAUCGUUCCCCGGGUGCGAACNCGGCGGGCGCAAAGCAAAAGGUGUUAAUUCAUCUAGACAGCCGGACGGUGGCCAUGGAAGUCGGAAUCCGCUAAGGAGUGUGUGAAAUGUUGCACACUACACAGCGCUCGUCGCUAGCGGGGGACCCCUAAUCNAGGCCCUCUGUGACGGCUCCAAAAUGUCAGAAUGUACCUGUUUAGGUGCAACUGGCAGUGGGGGUUAACCCCAUUCACAGACUAAACGGAGCGGACCGUGGAGCUCUCGCUUNGCGGCCAAGAUAUAGUCGUUUCCGGGCCCUGAAAAGGCGCCUAUUCGCGAGAACAACUCACCGGCCGAAUGA
rnacentral:rRNA from 1 species